rnacentral:rRNA from 1 species
UGGCUCGAGGACGAACGCUGGCGGCGUGCUUAACACAUGCAAGUCGAACGGGGACUUCGGUCCUAGUGGCGAACGGGUGAGUAAAGUGCAAAUAACCUGCCUCAAAGAUGGGGACAACAGCUCGAAAGGGUUGCUAAUACCGAAUGUUGUAUAGAGAGGGCAUCCUGAUUAUACUAAAGAUUUAUCGCUUUGAGAGGGGUUUGCAUCCGAUUAGGCAGUUGGCGGGUAAAAGCCCACCAAACCGACGAUCGGUAACCGGUCUGAGAGGAUGAACGGUCACAUUGGAACUGAGACACGGUCCAGACUCCUACGGGAGGCAGCAGUGGGGAAUAUUCCACAAUGGAGGGAACUCUGAUGGAGCGACGCCGCGUGAAGUGAAGAAGGGUUUAGGCUCGUAAAGCUCUUUUCUUGCAGAUGAAUGACUUAUUAGAUAAGUAGGGACAGUAUGUAAGGAAUAAGCCACGGCUAACUGCGUGCCAGCCGCGGC